AACCUGCCCCCGGCUCUGGGAUAACUCCAAGAAAUUGGGGCUAAUACCGGAUGGUCACCGCGCACCGCAUGGUGGGUGGUGGAAAGGGUUUCCGGCUGGGGAUGGGCCCGCGGCCUAUCAGCUUGUUGGUGGGGUAGUGGCCUACCAAGGCGACGACGGGUAGCCGGCCUGAGAGGGUGACCGGCCACACUGGGACUGAGACACGGCCCAGACUCCUACGGGAGGCAGCAGUGGGGAAUAUUGCGCAAUGGGCGGAAGCCUGACGCAGCGACGCCGCGUGGGGGAUGACGGCCUUCGGGUUGUAAACCUCUUUCAGCAGGGACGAAGCGCAAGUGACGGUACCUGCAGAAGAAGCACCGGCCAACUACGUGCCAGCAGCCGCGGUAAUACGUAGGGUGCAAGCGUUGUCCGGAAUUAUUGGGCGUAAAGAGCUCGUAGGCGGUUCGUCGCGUCGGCUGUGAAAACCCGGAGCUCAACUCCGGGCCUGCAGUCGAUACGGGCGGACUUGAGUUCGGCAGGGGAGACUGGAAUUCCUGGUGUAGCGGUGAAAUGCGCAGAUAUCAGGAGGAACACCGGUGGCGAAGGCGGGUCUCUGGGCCGAAACUGACGCU
rnacentral:rRNA from 1 species